UAAUAUCUUCAGGGCAGGGUGAAAUUCCCGACCGGCGGUAAGCUGCAACGCAGUAAGUCCGCGACCCGCGAAUGCGGUUGACAUGGUGUGAUUCCAUGACCGACAGUAAAGUCUGGUAUGCAGAAGAACUUA
rfam:Weissella cibaria strain MG1 contig000034, whole genome shotgun sequence.